GAUGAACGCUAGCGACAGGCCUAACACAUGCAAGUCGAGGGGUAGGGUAGCAAUACCCGAGACCGGCGCACGGGUGCGUAACGCGUAUGUAACCUGCCUUACACAGGGGGAUAGCCUUCCGAAAGGGAGAUUAAUACCCCAUAACAUUAUCUUCCCGCAUGGGGAGUUACUUAAAGCUACGGUGGUGUAAGAUGGGCAUGCGUAUGAUUAGCUAGUUGGGGGGGUAACGGCCCACCAAGGCGACGAUCAUUAGGGGUUCUGAGAGGAAGAUCCCCCACACUGGUGCUGAGACACGGACCAGACUCCUACGGGAGGCAGCAGUGAGGAAUAUUGGUCAAUGGGCGCGAGCCUGAACCAGCCAUGUCGCGUGCAGGACGACUGCCCUAUGGGUUGUAAACUGCUUUUGUAUGGGAAGAAACGACGGUACGCGUACUGUUUUGCCGGUACCAUACGAAUAAGGAUCGGCUAACUCCGUGCCAGCCGCCGCGGUAAUAC
rnacentral:rRNA from 1 species